UCCAAGUAGAAAGAGAGGUAUAUGUGGAUCAGUAGUUUCAUCUACAACAUGAAGCUACUACUAAGUUAAAUCUCACAUGCACCGUGAAGCUUGAUUUUAUGCUAUAUUUAGAUUUUAUCAGGGAUGUCAAGUCUUAAAUGAGGAAGAUUGAUCGGUAUAAGCAAAUGCAUGACCCUUUGUCAUGCAAUCAUGCAUGAAGUUGUCCAUCUGCUAUGGUGUUAUUUUUUUGUUUUGCUUCUGUGACCCGAGUAUUUAUGUUUUAGAAGGAAGAUCGCGUGUGUGUUACUAAUUCGUUUUCUCACUUUGCAGGUCCUAUGUGGCUACAAAGGUCACGGGAAGGUUGAUCUUUUGUGAGCAGGUAUCACAAGGAUGUUGAAUGGCUUUGGUAAAUCCAACUAACUCCAUGACAAUUGGUCUGUCUGUUACACAAAUAGAGAUCUUCUAGGUUUUGUUACUUACAGUUUCCUUGGUUGGCACCAUCUUGUCGUGAUGUAAAGCUCUCGUUUCAGCAAGCCCGUAAAUGUUGAAGGUGUCGAAGAAGGUGAUGCCACUCUCAAAAGCAUGCUUGAUGAUGGACAUCCGAACCUCAGUCACUCACUGGUGCAUUGAAUAUCCCACUGAGACCCAUGCAUCCAAAUCCUAGCUUCGACACCUGCAUGAAAAUAAAUGAAGCAAAAAGAGAAGAUUGCCCAAGAGAUCAACAUUAACAUCAUGCAGGAAGCAUCUCCCUUCAGCUUAUCAGAGAAGGUGUGAUCUCUAGUCCUUGGGAACCCAACUUCACUCUGGGGGGUCUGAAUCUUGUCCUGCAACUCCAUUUUUAGUCACUGAAUGAUUCCUCAGCUACAGAUUGAUGAUGCCACCCUAUAUAUAUUUAUAUAUAGGACAAAGAAUGUUUUAAAGGCUGAAGUUUUAUGCUUCCUACAUCAUCUUUUGGCUGUCGGCAACCAAUACAUUUUCACUCAACAGGAAUAAGAGGCAGGCAAGAAAUGACUUGUAAGAGAGUUGUCUGACCUGUUCCAGCGAGCUCAUGGCCUCUGUAACCAUCCAUUAACGAGGCAGCCAUGGCCAUGAAUUCAAAGAUCACAUUGGAAGGACGGAAUUUUCUGGUGAUUGACUUCAACAAUCUGUAAUCUACCACAUGCAGCUCAAACAAAUCACAAGUAGCACAAGUGUGUUACUAACAAAAGUGCAU